CAAAAAAAAAAAAAGCUAAAGUUGACUAGGAAAUGUGCAGUAACUGAAAACAGUGUGAUGACCGAGCGGGACCCAUAUAUGGUUCACUGCUCGUUAUAUUAAACUUGCCAUUAUUUUGGUUUUUCAGAUACUCCGAUCAACGCUAUAAUGCUUGAACUUCGAUCAUUUUCUGUAUGAUUUUGUAGUGGGUGUAGAGGAAACACCGUUGGAUUUGUUGGUCUGCUUUUGUUCCGUUUUACUCUAUUUCUUGUUGUCACCAUCUUUAAGCUUUUGCGUUCCUCUCUUAUUUACUUUACCACCAAAAAAAACACCACCAAAAAAAACAAAAAAUGGUUCCCCUGUUGUUUGGUAUCAAAAGGAAGCUCUCACUCUGUCCUCACUCUGCUCUCACACUGUUUCCUUGUAUUUUUUUGUUCUUUCUGCAGUAGAUUUCUUGGCUUGCAGCUUGUCAUUCGAUUGGAUCUCUUGUUUUUGUUUUUAUUUUUUUUUAUUUUUAAUUAAAUUUUGGGCAACUACCUGGCUUGAAAAUUUUUUUUUUAAUUGAAAAACCCAAAAAAGAAAAGGAAAAAAAAGAGAGAGAGAGAGAGAGAAGAAAAGAUUGGCAUAUUCUGCUCUUGAAGUUCACAUCAGUGUAUAUCACAGAAGAUUGUACUGCUAGGUAAACAUGGCAUUUAUCGCUGAGAUCGGUAUAGCUGCAAUUGCUGAAAAAAUUGCCGACUACACAGUGGUAGCAAUUUGCCAACAGCUAGGUUAUCCGUUUCAAUACAAACGCAACAUAGGCAACCUGAUAACAGAAACCCAGGAUUUGAAUCAUGUGAAGAAAAGAUUGCAGGACUUGGUUGCUUGUGCUAUAAGAAAUGGUGAUGAAAUUCAUGAAGAUACCAAGGAGUGGCUAAAGAAAGUAGAUAAAAUCACUGAACAAGCUGAGAAGUUUUUAGAAGAUGAAAACCAUGCAACGAUAAGGUGCAGUAUGAGGGGGUUGUUGUUCCUGAAUUUGGUGCCACGCUAUCGACAAAGUAAGAGAGCCAAGAAGAUGGGCAAGUCUGCUUUCAAAAUCAAAGGGGAGGUCAAUUUUGACAACAUUUCUUACCGUCCCCAUCUCCAAAGUGAUUUUACAAAUAAAAAUUACAUACAAUUUGAAACAAGAAGGAAAAUUGUGACUGAAAUUAUGGAGGCACUUGAAGAUGGUAAUGUCAGAAUGGUUGGGGUGCAUGGCAUGCCUGGUAUCGGUAAAACCACGCUUGUUAAAGAAAUUGCUGGAAGGGCCUUAGACAAGAAGUUGUUCAAUGAUUCUGUUCUGGUUUCUGUUUCACAUACUCCGGAUGUUGAAAGGAUUCAAAAAGCAAUUGCAGAAAGGCUGGAUCUAAAACUCGACAAGGAAACCAUACCUGAAAGAGCACUUUUGCUACAAAAUAGAUUGAAGCUUGAAAAGAAGUUCUUGAUAAUUCUAGAUGAUAUUUGGAAUGAACUUAAGCUUGAAGAUGUUGGAAUAGUUUUCAAAAGUGAUGAGAAGGGAUGCAAGAUAUUAUUUACAUCCAGAUCCAGGCGAGUGUUGUCUACCGAAAUGGGUGUUGAAAAGAUAUUCCAAGUUGGAGUCUUAGAUGAAGCUGAAGCAUUGAACUGGUUCAACCAUUUAGUGGCUAAAUCCGUUGAAAACAAUUCUGAAUUCCUGCAUCUGGGAAAUGAAAUUGUUAAUGAAUGUGCAUGUCUUCCAAUUGCCAUUGAAACAAUUGCAGGUACACUGAAAGAUCGUGAAUUGCCUUUUUGGAAGACUGCCUUGAGACAACUACAGGUAUCUAACCUAGCAGCUAUUGAUGAUGACAUGAAUAAAAAAGUCUAUUGUCCUAUCGAACUAUGUUAUAAUUCUUUAGGAAGUGAAGAAAAGUUAUUACUUCUGCUUUGUGGUUUGCAUGAAGAAGAUGAAAGCAUAUUAUUAGAGAAUUUGAUGAAAUAUGGUAUGGGUUGGGGCAUGUUUAAAGAUUUUGAUACAUUGCAAAGUGCAAGAGAUAGAGUUGACAGUUUAAUCUUUAAGUUGAAAGAUUGUUCUUUGUUGUUAGAUGGCGACUAUUACCGUACUGUUAAGAUGCACGAUGUCAUUCGUGACGUUGUAGUCUCAAUUGCGAGCAAAAGUCAUAUGUAUUCUUUUAAAAAUGAUGCUGAGGUAAAUCGCCUUGGAAUAGAAGCUCUUGAAGACUCAAUGGCAAUUUCGUUACCUAAUGGUUAUGUGCCUCGUCUACUUAAAGGAAAGUUGGAAUAUAAACAGCUUGAGUUAAUUUGGAUGUGGCGAAAUAAGUCUUCCCAAAUCCCAGAUAAUUUUUUUGAAAACACAAAGAAGCUUAGAGUUUUAGAUCUGUCUUAUUAUGUAUAUUUUGAAAAAUUACCUUCAUCUUUGUGUUAUCUGGGAAAUCUCCGCACAUUGUGUUUUUAUGGCCAUCAUCUGGAAGACAUAUCUUUAAUUGGAGGGCUCAAAAACUUGGAAAUUCUUGACCUUUCAAAGUCUGGUAUCAAGGAAUUACCAACAGAAAUUGGACAACUUACUCUUUUACGCAUGUUAGAUUUGCGUGAUUGUUAUCAACUGGAAGUCAUUGAACGCCAUGUCAUAUCACAUUUGACGUCUUUAGAAGAGUUGUAUGUGGAAAGGAGUUUUAAGAAGUGGGAUGAGGUUCAAGGAGUCAAUGGCGACAAAAGAAAUGCCAGUCUUAAUGAGCUGAAACAUUUGGAUCAGCUAACCGCUUUACAUUUAGAAAUAGUUGACAUCAACGUGCUACCAAAAGAUGUAUUCAGUGGGAAAACAUUUGAACGAUAUAAGAUUGCUAUAGGAUGUAAAUGGAGUGGCCAGCUCAUUGAUAAUCCUUCAAGAUGUUUGGAACUCAACCUCAAUGAAAACGGACUAUUAACAGAGCAUGGUCUUGAAAUGAUGUUGGAAAGCACUCAAAUGUUGUCUUUGAAUGGAUUUCAAGGUGCCUAUAAUAUUGUCCAUGAAUUAGACAAAGCCGGUUUUCCAGAAUUGAAGUGCUUUCGAUUGGAAAACAAUCAGACAAUCCAGUGUUUGAUUAACAUGAUGGAGCAAAAUCAUCCUUGUAGCGUGUUUGACAGCUUGGAAAUAUUGCACCUUGACAAUUUGGAAAAUCUCGAGAAGAUAUGUGAUGGAGAACUCACAAAAGAAUCAUUGAGAAGAUUGAGAAUUAUAAAGGUAAGCAAUUGUGACAUGUUGAAGAAUCUUCUGCCAUUCUCCAUGAGUAAGCUCGAGGAAAUUGAAAUAAAAGAUUGCAGCAUGAUUGAGGAGAUAGUUUCUAAGGAAGAAGACAAGAGCAAGGAAGUUAUUGGCAACUUUCCUCAAUUAUGCUCCUUGAAGUUGAAAAAUGUUCCAAGGCUUAAAAGUUUCUGCUCCAAAUUGAAGAAAAUUCAUAAGUCCGAAAGGGGAAAGCAACCAGUGGAUGUAGAUAAUUCUGUAAAGACUCUGCUUGGUGAGAAGUUGCUUCUUAUCCCCGUUUUGGAGGAAUUGGAACUGUCCAAUUGUAAUGGUUUAACAAGAAUAUGGGAUGACCAGAUUCUACCAAGCUCUACUUCUUUUCACAACUUAACAAAGUUGCUUGUAAAUGACUUCAAUUCUUUGGAAUAUCUAUUUUCAUCUGCUGUGGCAAUGACUUUUGUACAACUCCGAUCCCUUGAAUUAAGUGAUUGUUUGAAUAUGAAAGAAAUAGUGAGCAACAGUGAAAAGAUGGAUAAGAUCUCAUUUCCUAAGCUAGAUUAUCUGUGGAUUAAUAAUCUUGGGUGCCUCGCAACAUUCUCCUCUGAAAUUUACAUUGACUUUCCAGUUUUAACUAGACUUUUCAUGGAGAACUGCCCAAAAUUUUCAACAUUCAUUUCCAAGUCUGAAGAAGAAAAGCUGCCAUCUCUGUUCAACGAAAAGGUUACAUUCCCCAGCUUGAAGAAUUUGGACAUUAGGGCCAUGAAUACAUUGAAGAUGAUAGCUAAUAAUUCACAUCUAUUUUGCAAGUUGGAAGUGGUAGAUGUUUAUAACUGCAACAAUCUUACGAAGGUAUUUACAUCUAGUAUGCUGAGAGCACUUGGCAGUCUAAGAAGGUUGAACAUAAGUAGGUGUAGAAUGGUAGAACAGGUGUUUGAAAUCCAGACAUCAAGUCUUGAAGAAAUCACACACAACACAAUACCAGCUCGGUUGAUUUCAUUGAGCCUCUACUGUUUACCUAAAUUGAGGUAUGUGUGGGGUAAAGAUCCUCAAGGAACUAUUACCUUCACACACCUUGAAGAUGUUCGAGUUUUGGACUGUCCAAUUCUGAAAUCAGUCUUUCCACUUUCCAUUGCCAAAGGUCUUUCCAAACUUCAAAAACUAUCUCUUUCUAUUUGUGGGAUAGAACAAAUUGUUGAACCUGCGGGGACUGUACCAGUUCUGCCUGAGUUUGUAUUCCCUCAAUUGGAAGAAAUGAAUUUGAACUUUAUGGAAAAUCUUGUAAGUUUUUAUCCAGGACUGCAUACCUCAAGUUGGCCUUCAUUAAAAAGUCUAGUUUUGCUGAAUUGUGAGAAAGUGAAGGUUUUGGCUUCGGAAUUGUCCUACUUUCAAGAAAAGCAUGCGCAUCAUGAUCAUGAUAAUAGUCCAAUCCCACAACCAUUAACUUUCACCAGGUUUGAUCCUUUUCCCAAUUUAGAGAAGUUGGAACUGUUGAGAUGCAAUUUGGAGAAGAUAUGGGAUAGCAAGCUUCCACCAAAUUCUCAUUCUUAUCGAAAGUUGAAAAGCUUGCAUGUGGUAAGUUGCGGAUUUUUGAAAAAUCUAUUUUCUUCAGCUGAAGCAGUGAAUUUCGAACAACUUUCUGCUCUUGAGGUAAAAGAUUGUAUGAUGAUGGAAGAAAUAAUGAGUAAGAAUGAAGAGGUGGAUAAGGUGCAAUUCACUAAACUAAAUCAUCUCAACUUCAUAAAUCUUCCAAACCUGGUGUCAUUCUCGUCUGAAACUUUCAUUGAGUUUCCAUUGAUAACUGAAAUUUCCAUUAAUGAUAAAGAUUGCCCCAAGUUUAAGACUUUUGUUUCCAAAUUGGAAGAGGAGGAUUGCACGACAAUGAAAUCUCUAUUCAAUGACAAGGUAGCAUUCCCCAGCUUGCAUACUGUAGAAAUUAAAGGCUUGGUUGAAUUGAAGAUGAUAUGGCAAUACAAACUCAGUACUGCAGAUUCAUUUUCCAAAUUGGAAAAGGUAAUAGUUCACAAUUGCAAGAAUUUAGUGAAAGUAUUUUCAUCUAGUAUGCAGGGAAAACUCCACAAUCUAAAGAGGUUGCAAAUAAGUCAUUGUGAGAUGGUAGAAGAAGUAUUUGAAAUCCAAAUGCCAAAUAUUAUUGAACAAACAUACAAUAUAAUGCCCUCUCAGUUGAUUCAUUUGAGUUUGGUAAGUUUAUCGAAGCUCAAGCAUGUGUGGAGUAAAGAUCCCCAAGGAACUCUUACCUUCCCACAUCUUAAGGAAGUCACAGCUACCUUAUGUCCAAGUCUCGAAUCAAUCUUUCCACCUUCCAUUGCUAGAGAGCUAUUCAAACUUGGAAAACUAGAUAUUCAAUAUUGUGGGAUACAAGAAAUUGUUGCUAAGCCUCAGGUGCUGGAAGAAGAAUUGGAAACAGAACCACCACCUGAACUACUUAUCAAUGCUGAUUCCUUUUCUGAAUUGGAGGUAAAAGUUUCUCAUUGCGAUAAUCUAAUAAGGAUAUUUCCACCUAAUAUGCACAAAGUUCUCUGCAAUCUGAAAAAGUUGAAAAUAUUUAGUUGUGAAAUGGUAGAAGUAGUAUUUCAAAUCCAAAUGUCGAAUGAUGAAGAACCGCAAAGUGGCAUAAUAAUACCAACUCAAUUGGUUGAUUUGGAACUGUGUUAUUUACCAAAUCUGAAACAUGUGUGGAGUGAUGAUCCUCGAGGAGCUCUUACCUUCCCAAAACUUGAGAGAGUUAAAGCAUGGAGGUGUCGAAGUCUGAAAUCAAUGUUUCCAGCUUCCGUUGCCAAAAGUCUUUUCCAACUUCAAACAUUGAAUAUUUCUGGUUGUGGGAUAGAAUAUAUUAUUUCUAAGGAGGUAGGAUUGGAGGCAGUACCACCAAAAUUCCAAUUCCAUCACUUAGAGGAGAUAAAACUUCACAACUUGAUCAAUUUUGUGAGUUUCUAUCAAGGAUUUCAUACCUCUAGUUUUCCUUCAUUAACAGCUUUAAUGGUGAGCAAGUGUAUGAAGCUGAAGGUUAUUGCUUCAGACAUCUUCAACUUUCAAGAAACGCAUGGCUCCAUGGACAUGGAUAUAUUAUAUGAACAACAUAGGGGUCUAUACUUCAGUCCUGAGAUGGAACGUCAUGUAGGUGUGUUAAAACUAGAAGGACUACCAAACUUGAUGCAUUUGAUGGAUGAGAGCUCACAAGGACAAGCAAGCUUUCAAAAUUUUAUAACCUUACGAGUUCUAAAAUGUUACAUGUUGAAGAACUUAGUUCCAUCCUCAAUAUCAUUACAAAAUUUGAAAGAGCUGACAGUAUCACAAUGCCAUGGAAUGGUAAAUUUAAUAUCUUCCCAAACUGCCAAAAGCAUGAACCAGCUGCAGAAGAUGAGGAUAAGUGAUUGCCAAAGGUUGAUGGAAGUAAUAACUUCAGAUCAUUGUACAGAAGACAGUGGUGAAAUUGAUUUUGCUAAGUUGGAAAUUUUGGAGCUUGGUAUGUUACCAAGCCUCACAAGCUUCUAUUCAGGGAAUUACAAGAUGGGAUUUCCAAAUUUGAAAAGUAUAGUUGUAGGGGGGUGCUUUGCAAUGCAAAGUUUCUCUGUUCAUGGUAUUAUAAGCACCCCAAAACUGAAUAGACUACAACUGGAUGGUAAGACAGCCGUGGAAGUCAAUAACAACACAGAUAUCAAUUGCAUCAUAAAACAUCACUUCAAGACCCACCCUGCAGGUACUGCAAUAUUAGAAGAAAAAGGUUUUAUGGUCUACAACAGUAUCCUAAAAAUAUGAAGUGUUUGCUGCAGAUGCAUGCUGAUGGCAGAACCUGAUGACCGCAUAUUUGUAAAUUGUAAGACCUAUUCCAUUUUUCUACAUGCCUGCUUAUAGUAGCCAUAACAAAAAAGUAGCCGGUUACAAAUAUUGAUGCAAUUGGCAAUUUCCCUUGAAAAUUGUCAAGAAGAUUAAUUAUUUUGGUAUUAAUUUUGCUGGAUUAACAAAUUUUAAAUCGAAACUCUGUCCUAUGCACGUAUGAAACCGUACAAAAAAUCAGAAACUUUUUUCCAAUACUAGUAAUGCAAAAUAUAUUUUUUUCUACCGAUAGCUAUGUUGAAGCAUGCACACCAUGGAUGGCAUAAUUAAUAGUUAAAAAAAUUUCUCAAUGCAGGUUAUGGUUUGCUCUCUAGUACUUCUAAUUAAUUAAGAAUAUAAUAUUUAACUUUGGUAUUCCUUUAUUCUUAUCUAAAAACAAAUUUUUCUGUCAUUAGCUAUUGCCAUUUUGCCAUUCAUGAUGGUGAAGAUACGCUACUUUGACAAUGUAUAGCAUAUGUGAAAAAGUGAAAGUUGAGAAAAAAAACAGAUCAUGCAUUGAUGAAAUGUGGGUUUUUGAAUUGUUCAAUUGGAAGCAGAGGAAGGAUGACUUUUAAUUUUUAUGUGAAAUUUCUGUUUUAUGCUGUGGCCUUUUUGGAAAAGUAAAAGAAAAUGGACUUCUUCAAAAGUGGAAGCAAAUGGUUCUUAUAAUUAUGGAGAGGUUCUCCUGAAGCAGGUUUUCAUCUAUAUUUUAAUUGGUGAAAUAGUAAAUUCAUACCCCUGAUUCUAUAUAUAAAUAUAUAUAUAUAUAUAUUUUCAUGCACAAACUAUAUAUAUUACACCCAUGGGUUUCUGAACUCCUGAACAAAUUAACCACAGGUUAUAAUAUUUUUUUGGAGAGCAAUUCAUGGUCUUGGUUUUGUCUUUGGACUACAUUUUUAUCUUGACAAAACUAGCAGGGUACUGUGGAGACUAAUGUUUCAUUGGGACCUCCAGCCCUCAAGAAAUCUGGCUCAAAAAAGAGAUAUAAUCUGAAACCAAAAGUAUUUGAAUUAUAUUUACACAACUUUAUUAUAUAUUUGAAAUAUAUCUCUAUCACAUCUAACUUGGCAGAGUAUUUAAUCAUGAUCCUUUAUAGAGAGGAAAAAAGGAAAUAUUUAUCAUGAUUUCAAUUCUUCGGUUGCUGCAUACACACUGCAUAUACACAUUGAUGGCAGAAAAUGAUGAUGACAUAUCUGUAAAUUGUUACAUCUUCCAGUCAAUAUGAGGAUCUAGUUGGUGAACAAGAAGAACUUGCGGAACACUUUCAUGUCUAAGUGUAUUAAGACUAUGUGAUAUGCCAAACUUGUUGCAUUUGAGUGAGGAGAGCUCGCAGCCACAAACAUUAAUGUUUCAAAAUUUGAUAGAUUUAGACAUAUUGAGACGUGGUAGAAUAAAGAAGUCAGUGUCAUCCUCCAUCUCAUUCCAAAAUCUGUUAGAGACGAGAGUCAGACAAUGCCAUGGCAUGCAAAGUUUACUAACUUCCCAAACAGCCUAAAGUAUGGCACGACUUUAAAAUCUGAUUGUAUGAAAUUGCAAAAGAAUGGCAGGAAUAAUUGUAGACGCAGAAGAAGGUGAGGAAAUGGAAGGUGAAAUUGUUUUUGCUCGGUUGAAAACUUUGGUACUAGAUUGCUUAAUUACCAAGCCUUUCAGGGAAAUAUAUGUUGGGAUUUCCAAACCUGUCUGUCGAACAACCUGACAUCUAGCGCCAACUGCUUGAAUCCAUUGCUUCAAUGCCAAAGUGCACAUGUGGAGGUACUUGAUUGUAAACUUUUUUUUUUUUAUUUUUAUUUUUUAAAAAAAAUAAAUUUUAAUAUAAAUCAUGAAUUCUAAGCUAACUUCAAUAUGUUGUAUGAUCAAGUGGAGAUUAACCACUACGUUUGAUUUUUUUAAUCUAGUUGGAGAUGUGGACUGAAAAGAAUGGGAUGUGGAUUUUUUUGAAUUGUACAGUUGGAAACAGAGGAAGAUUAACUUUAUUAUUAUUAUUUAUGGGAAAUAUCUGUUUUAUAUUGUGGCCUUUUUAGAAAAGAAAAGAAAGUGGAGUAGUUUUUCAGAGGUGGAAGCAAAUGGUUUCUUAUCAUUAUGGAGAGGUCUGCUUAAACGUGAUUUGUGAAUCCAUCAUUUCACCUUGUAUUUUAAUUGUGAAAUAGUAGAUUUUCAAACGUGUGCAAUACUAGAGUUAUGAACCAAUUAACCAUGGAUUAAAAUGUAUUUUUAAGGAAUAUCUCAUGGGCUUGGUUUAGCUUUGGGCUUCAAUACUUCU